UUGUUGCAUGGCUGUCGUCAGCUCGUGUCGUGAGAUGUUCGGUUAAGUCCGCUAACGAGCGCAACCCUCGUCGUAUGUUAUAUGUGUCAUACGAGACUGCCGGUAAAAGCCGGAGGAAGGUGAGGAUGAUGUCAAGUCAGCAUGACCUUUAUAUCCAGGGCUACACACACGCUACAAUGGUCUGUACAAUGGGUAGCCAAGCCGCGAGGCGGAGCCAAUCCUGAAAGCAGGCCUCAGUUCAGAUUGCAGUCUGCAACUCGACUGCAUGAAGCCGGAGUUGCUAGUAACCGCAGGUCAGCAAUACUGCGGUGAAUACGUUCCCGGGUCUU
rnacentral:rRNA from 1 species